rnacentral:rRNA from 1 species
AUGGCUCAGGAUGAACGCUAGCGGCAGGCUUAACACAUGCAAGUCGAGGGGCAGCGCGAGUAGCAAUACUUGGCGGCGACCGGCGCAAGGGUGCGUAACGCGUGAGCAACAUGCCCGUAUCAGGGGGAUAAUCCAGGGAAACUUGGUCUAAUACCCCAUAGUAAUUUUGUAAGGCAUCUUAUAAGAUUUAAAGCUUUGGUGGAUACGGAUUGGCUCGCGUGACAUUAGCUGGAUGGUAAGGUAACGGCUUACCAUGGCUAUGAUGUCUAGGGGUUCUGAGAGGAAGGUCCCCCCACACUGGAACUGAGACACGGUCCAGACUCCUACGGGAGGCAGCAGUGAGGAAUAUUGGACAAUGGAUGGAAAUCUGAUCCAGCCAUGCCGCGUGAAGGGAAAAGAAGGUCCUAUGGAUUGUAAACUUCUUUUGUAUGGGAGCAAUAAGGCCUACGAGUAGGUUGAUGAGAGUACCAUACGAAUAAGCACCGGCUAACUCCGUGCCAGCAGCGGC